rnacentral:rRNA from 1 species
UACGUAGGGGGCCAGCGUUGUUCGGAAUUACUGGGUGUAAAGGGUUCGUAGGCGGUGCGGCAAGUUGGGAGUGAAAUCUCUGGGCUUAACCCAGAGGCUGCUUUCAAAACUGCUGUGCUUGAGUGUGAGAGAGGCUCGUGGAAUUGCAGGUGUAGCGGUGAAAUGCGUAGAUAUCUGCAGGAACACCCGUGGCGAAAGCGGCGAGCUGGAUCACUACUGACGCUGAGGAACGAAAGCUAGGGGAGCAAACGGG